rnacentral:rRNA from 1 species
CGGACGGGUGAGUAAUGCUUGGGAAUCUGGCUUAUGGAGGGGGAUAACUGUGGGAAACUGCAGCUAAUACCGCGUAUUCUCUGAGGAGGAAAGGGUGGGACCUUAGGGCCACCUGCCAUAAGAUGAGCCCAAGUGGGAUUAGGUAGUUGGUGGGGUAAAGGCCUACCAAGCCUGCGAUCUCUAGCUGGUCUGAGAGGAUGACCAGCCACACUGGAACUGAGACACGGUCCAGACUCCUACGGGAGGCAGCAGUGGGGAGUAUUGCGCAAUGGGGGGAACCCUGACGCAGCCAUGCCGCGUGAAUGAAGAAGGCCUUCGGGUUGUAAAGUUCUUUCGGUAAUGAGGAAGGGAUGUUGUUAAAUAGAUAGCAUCAUUGACGUUAAUUACAGAAGAAGCACCGGCUAACUCCGUGCCAGCAGCCGCGGUAAUACGGAGGGUGCGAGCGUUAGUCGGAAUAACUGGGCGUAAAGGGCACGCAGGCGGACUUUUAAGUGAGACGUGAAAUCCCCGAGCUUAACUUGGGAACUGCAUUUCAGACUGGGAGUCUAGAGUACUUUAGGGAGGGGUAGAAUUCCACGUGUAGCGGUGAAAUGCGUAGAGAUGUGGAGGAAUACCGAAGGCGAAGGCAGCCCCUUGGGAAUGUACUGACGCUCAUGUGCGAGAGCGUGGGGAGCAAACAGGAUUAGAUACCCUGGUAGUCCACGCUGUAAACGCUGUCGAUUUGGGGAUUGGGCUAUAUGCUUGGUGCCCGAAGCUAACGUGAUAAAUCGACCGCCUGGGGAG